UAGAGUUUGAUCCUGGCUCAGGAUGAACGCUAGCUACAGGCUUAACACAUGCAAGUCGAGGGGAAACGACAUCGAAAGCUUGCUUUUGAUGGGCGUCGACCGGCGCACGGGUGAGUAACGCGUAUCCAACCUGCCCAUCACUUGGGGAUAACCUUGCGAAAGUAAGACUAAUACCCAAUGAUAUCUCUAGAAGACAUCUGAAAGAGAUUAAAGAUUUAUCGGUGAUGGAUGGGGAUGCGUCUGAUUAGCUUGUUGGCGGGGUAACGGCCCACCAAGGCGACGAUCAGUAGGGGUUCUGAGAGGAAGGUCCUCCACAUUGGAACUGAGACACGGUCCAAACUCCUACGGGAGGCAGCAGUGAGGAAUAUUGGUCAAUGGGCGAGAGCCUGAACCAGCCAAGUAGCGUGCAGGAUGACGGCCCUAUGGGUUGUAAACUGCUUUUAUAAGGGAAUAAAGUGAGUCUCGUGAGACUUUUUGCAUGUACCUUAUGAAUAAGGACCGGCUAAUUCCGUGCCAGCAGCCGCGGUAAUACGGAAGGUCCGGGCGUUAUCCGGAUUUAUUGGGUUUAAAGGGAGCGUAGGCCGGAGAUUAAGCGUGUUGUGAAAUGUAGACGCUCAACGUCUGCACUGCAGCGCGAACUGGUUUCCUUGAGUACGCACAAAGUGGGCGGAAUUCGUGGUGUAGCGGUGAAAUGCUUAGAUAUCACGAAGAACUCCGAUUGCGAAGGCAGCUCACUGGAGCGCAACUGACGCUGAAGCUCGAAAGUGCGGGUAUCGAACAGGAUUAGAUACCCUGGUAGUCCGCACGGUAAACGAUGGAUGCCCGCUGUUGGUCUGAAUAGGUCAGCGGCCAAGCGAAAGCAUUAAGCAUCCCACCUGGGGAGUACGCCGGCAACGGUGAAA
rnacentral:rRNA from 1 species